GUGCUCACUUUGGGAACACAUAUACUGAAAUUGGAAUGAUACAGAGAAGUUUAGCAAGGUCCCUGUGCAAGGAUAACAAGCAAAUUCAUGAAGUGUUCCAUAUUUUU